GUUCAGCCACACAUAUAUUACAAUGGGAAUGGUACAGAGAAGAUUAGCAUGGCCCCUGUGCAAGGAUGAUACAAAAAUUCUUGAAGCAUUCCAUACUGUA
rnacentral:snRNA from 1 species